AACUUUAGGAAAAGAAAUCAAACGAGAUUGUUAUUUGGUGCAAACUAAAUAACAAGAGCCUAUUAACAAAACUUGUUAAAGUAAAAUGGAUUAAAAUCUGUUUGAAUAUAGGGGAACCUUCCUCUAAGGCUAAAUAUGAUAUAUAAGCGAUAGUGAAAAGUACCGUGAGGUAAAAUUUGAAAUAGUAGUUUUAUAAGCAGCUCGAGUGAAAAUUUAAAUAAGUAAUAAGAGUGUACCUUUUGCAUAAUGGGUCAGCAAGUUAAUUUUAGAUGCAAGCAAUGAUUUCGUGCGCUUUGCGCAUGAAACUAGCUUAGAUAAACCAAUUAUGAGAAAAUGAAUAAGUAUCUAGAAUUAGACCCGAAGGCUAGUGAUCUUACCAUGGUCAGGGUUAUAAAAGCCCGAACGGGUUAUCGUUGUAUAGAUAUCCGAAGAAUUGUGGUAAGUUAGUGAAAGACAAAACUGACUAGUAUAGCUGGUUUUCCGCGAAACCUAUAUGAGUAGGUAAUUUAACUAACAUCUUAGCAGGUACAGAACUGUGAUCUCGGACAAUAUCUUUUGAUUUUGUCAACAUCGGGGGGUUGUAGUGACUUUACCGGAGAGUAUUUGCACUCGGAAUGGCAAAGAUGAAUGUUGAAUAAUCAGACAUAGUGCGAUAAGGUUGUAUGUCUAAAGGGAAACAGCCCAGAACAAGAGUUAAGGUUCCAAAAUUAUUGUUGAGUGAAAUUAAGGAUGUUUUUUUUAAAAACAAUCAGGAAAUAGGCUUAGAAGCGGCCAUUUUUUGAAGACCUCGUAACAGAGCACUGAUUAAUUUAUUUAGAAAAAAACACCGAAAAUUUAACGGAUCUAAACAAUAUACCGAAACCUUGUACACAUAUUUAUAAUAUUAAUAUUGUAUAUGUGGGGUAGCGGAACAUUGGAUAAAUAUUAAUUAUUAUUUCUUCUAAGAAAUAAUAAGUAUGGAUUAUUAUUAAAAAUAUUUAUUUCUUAAAGAUAUUUAUGUAAUAUUAUUAUACCUAAAAGGUAUAAUGUUUAGAUGAAUAUAUAGAUAGAUUAAAUCUGUCUUUAUUAUUAAUAUAAUCCAUCGAUAUAAUCCAAGAGAGAAUGCUGACAUGAGUAACGAAAAAGGAAUAUCCUCGCCUUAAGCUUAUGGUAUUUUAUUUAAUUUUCGGUAUCUAAAAAUAUUAAUCAAAAGGUAAUUUUGAUGAUAUUUAUAUAUAAAUACUUAAAAAAUAAAAAACAAAACCUUUAACAAGUAAUAAAGGUUCUGGAAAAUUUUUUAUGAUAAGCGAAUAAAUAAUCUUUAUUUCGUGAGUAUAAUGCAAUAUAGGUAUGUUAUAUCAUAUAUAAUUUUCUUGUUACAAGUUUUCAAGAUUGUAUAGAUUUUAUCUAUAUUGAAUAUAUUUUAUUCUUAUACUAUUGUAUAAGUAAGGUUUAUAUAUACCGUACCUAGAUACUAUCACAAGUAAGCAAGUAGAGAAUACAAAGGCGUUUGAGUGAACAAUCAUUAAGGAACUCGGCAAAUUGACUACCGUAACUUCGGGAUAAGGAGGGCCAUUAUGAUUAGUUUAACAUAUCUUAUGAUAUGAUUUAAUUAAACUAAUCAUAAGAGGAAACAUGAAAUAAUGUUGUACGACUGUUUAAUAAAAACACAGCACUCUGCAAAGAUAAAAUAUCAAAGUAUUGAGUGUGAUGUCUGCCCAAUGUCGGCUGGGUAACGGAUUUACCUUGGUUUUUAACUGAGGUUUUGAAGGAUACCCCGAUUAAUGGCGGCCUUACCUAUGAGGGUCCUAAGGUAGCGAAAUACCUUGGCCGUUAAAUGCGGUCCUGCAUGAAUGACUUAACGAUACAACAGCUGUCUCGAUGAUUGUCUCAGUGAAAUUGGAAUAGCAGUGCAGAUACUGUUUACCUCUAGAUAGACGAGAAGACCCUAUGCAGCUUUACUGUUACUAAUUGCAAGAGUGAAAAUUUAGGAUGAUUUCGAGUGUAUAAGGUAGUUGUUUGAUAACAAUGAAACACCUUUAUUCGUUUCCUACUAUAUGCUCUUGAGGAUUGGGAGGCAGUUUAUGCGGGGCACAGAUCCCACAAAAAGUACCUGGGUAUAUCCAAAGUUCAUUUUGUAAAUUUGUAAAUUUCUUUACAAAUAUUUUAAUUUGUUAUAAUUAUAUUCAUAAUUAUACAGUUAUUGUUAGAUUAAGUUCAAUAUUUAUUUUUUAUUUAAGUAAGAUUUUAACUAUAUGGUGAAUAGAUGUAUUUUAAACUUUACCCGGGGAGGGAGUGAUUCCCUCCGGGAUAUUUAAAAGUUUUUUCUCAUAUUAAUAUUGUAUUUUAUCUUUAUUGAUAUGAUAAUUAAUUAUACUUUAAAAGUUUAAUGGCUAAAUCUUGCUUUACUGUUUGACCUACAAGUCUAUCAGUCGCGUAAGCGGGGCAUAUGAUCACAAGAUGCAUAAAGGAAAGGUCUUGGAUUAAAGAAAAAGUUACGCUAGGGAUUAACAGGCUAAUUUGCGCAAGAGAGUACAAAUUGAGUGCGCGGUUUGGCACCUCGAUGUCGGCUUAGCUCAUCCACAUGAAUGCAAAAAUCAUGAAGGGUUCGACUGUUCGUCGAUUAAAGAGCUACAUGAGCUGGGUUUAAUACGUCGUGAGACAGUAUGGUUUCUAUCUUCUAGAGGGAAUUAAAGUAGAAUAAAGAUAGCCCCUUCGUACGAAAGGAGUUGGGUAUAUUGACCUAUGGUUUACCUGUUGUUUAUGUUAUAUAUUAGUGUGUAUGUUAUUAUACAUAAUAUAUCAUUUACUUAUACUUAAGUAAAUUGUUCACAUAGGCAUGGCAGGAAGGCUACGUCGGUUAAAGAUAAGUGCUGAAAGCAUUUAAGCGCGAAGCUUACUUUAGGAUACUUUUAAACGUAGUAGAACACUACGA
rnacentral:rRNA from 1 species